UUCUACAGACCUGAGGACACACACCUUGACAAGGAUACUUGUCGGAAAGAGCGUUUGAACAUACUAUACUACACCAAAGAAGAAGCAGACGUAUACUUGCAUGAUGUCUGUGGCAAGGCACAGGUUGUCUUCUCAACAUACCAGCAGCUUGACCACCCAGGAAUUUGGUCUGUUGGUGAUGCCUUCGUUUUUUCAAAGAUGUAUGACAGCAGCACUGGAAAGUUCUUUGAUGUCCCACCCCAAUACCAACUGGUCGGACGAGAGGUGAG